GAUGAACGCUGGCGGCGUGCCUAAUACAUGCAAGUCGAGCGAACGGACGAGAAGCUUGCUUCUCUGAUGUUAGCGGCGGACGGGUGAGUAACACGUGGAUAACCUACCUAUAAGACUGGGAUAACUUCGGGAAACCGGAGCUAAUACCGGAUAAUAUUUUGAACCGCAUGGUUCAAAAGUGAAAGACGGUCUUGCUGUCACUUAUAGAUGGAUCCGCGCUGCAUUAGCUAGUUGGUAAGGUAACGGCUUACCAAGGCAACGAUGCAUAGCCGACCUGAGAGGGUGAUCGGCCACACUGGAACUGAGACACGGUCCAGACUCCUACGGGAGGCAGCAGUAAGGAAUCUUCCGCAAUGGGCGAAAGCCUGACGGAGCAACGCCGCGUGAGUGAUGAAGGUCUUCGGAUCGUAAAACUCUGUUAUUAGGGAAGAACAUAUGUGUAAGUAACUGUGCACACCUUGACGGUACCUAAUCAGAAAGCCACGGCUAACUACGUG
rnacentral:rRNA from 1 species